UCCUUACGCGCAGACGCUUUCUGUGUCGUCCGAUCGUUAUCUUCUGAUCCCAAGCGCCUUCUUCUUCCUCCUGUUUUUUCCCUGCACCCAGCCCGUUCUCUCUGUUAGCCCGCUUGCUUUCUUCCCCAGCACGUGUGUGCUCUCUCCCGACAGCGCGCCGCCGUCGCUUGGUUGCUGCCUCCGCGGCUAGCGCGGCCGGGUAUCUUACCUUCGCCACCGCAGAAACUCAUCGCUCUCUCGAGUGCCGUGAGGGAAUUCGUGUGACCAGACACAGGCUUAGGGCAGAACCGCUACGCCGUGAUGAGGGGGGUAGGGGGAGGGGUCGAGGAGCUGCACGGCGGGCCGGGAUCCAGGGAACGGCGCCCCGGGGGACUGGAUCUAGGCGGGAUCGGUCAAAUAAUUCAAGCAGUGAGGCCAUGCCUGCGGUGAGUAAUACUAGCGAGUAGGCACUGGUUGUGCGGCUUGGUUUCCAUCGCCAGCUCUGUGUGGGCUUCUUGCUUCUCGACGGCAUCUCAGGCUGGCCGUCUCUUCCUUUUAUUCCCCCAGCAAGACCAAGACUGCUCCCAUAUCUGACACCACUGCUAGCUGGAGCUCAACGAUCACCCCCUUGAUCCACAUAAGUUAGCACAUCAUCCUUGCUUCCUCAUACGAUUAUAAUUCUAGGUGUCAUUUGUGUUAAUGCUACCAUGACAUGCUAGUUGUUUUGGUUCUUGUCUUGCUAAGAGUAGUUAGUCCGUUCAGGUUUGUAUGGUGACGUGAAGAUGCACAAUAUAUAACACUAGCUACUACUUCAGUCUUUUUACAGAAGUUCUUGAAUUCUGAACAUGGGCAGUCCAAGUAAUUUUAUUCAAGCUUUACUAUUUUCUCUUCUAGACUUCUAGGUGAUCCUGUAGCAUGUUUAGGUUACAGUUACCAACAUGACACUCAUGUAGUUAUC
rnacentral:lncRNA from 1 species